rnacentral:misc_RNA from 1 species
UGCGGCUGGAACACCUCCUUUCUAGAGACAUAAAAAAGACCUAGGGUCUUACUCUCGCUGUUAGUUCAAAAAAAAAGACUUAAAAUACAGAGUCUCGUAGCUCAGCUGGUUAGAGUACUACACUGAUAAUGUAGGGGUCGGCAGUUCGAGUCUGCCCGGGACUACUUUUAACAAGUAUUUUAAGAGAAAAAGGAAAUUUUAGAAGUUGAGUCCUUGAAUUUUGAAAUUUGAGAUUUAAAUUUUGAAAUUGAAAACGGGGGAUUAGCUCAGCUGGCUAGAGCGCCUGCCUUGCACGCAGGAGGUCAUCGGUUCGACUCCGAUAUUCUCCACAAAAAAAUUGAUAAUUAUCAAUUGAUAAUUGUUAAUUGAUUAAAGUUCAUUGACAUAUUGAGAUAAACAUACAAACAAGUAGAAAGAACACAAAAAAAUGUGAAUUUUAAAUUGUGAAUUAUGAAUUGAUUCAUCAUUUAUAAAUUAACAUUUAUAAUUAAAAAAGAAACAAUAAGCAAAAUAAGGGCGUAUGGGGGAUGCCUAG